GGUUGUGGCUCAGUGGUAGAGCACUUGCCUAGCACGUGUGAGGCACUGGGUUCAAUCCCUAGCACCA
rnacentral:tRNA from 1 species